GGAUGAACGCUAGCGACAGGCUUAACACAUGCAAGUCGAGGGGUAACAGGGUAGCAAUACCGCUGACGACCGGCGGCACGGGUGAGUAACGCGUAUGCAACCUGCCUAUAACUGGGGAAUAGCUCCCUGAAAGGGGAAUUAACACCGCAUAAUACUAUUGAUUCGCAUGGAUUAGUAGUUAAAUGUAGCGAUACAGGUUAUAGAUGGGCAUGCGUGACAUUAGCUAGUUGGUGAGGUAACGGCUCACCAAGGCUACGAUGUCUAGGGGUUCUGAGAGGAAGGUCCCCCACACUGGUACUGAGACACGGACCAGACUCCUACGGGAGGCAGCAGUGAGGAAUAUUGGUCAAUGGGCGCAAGCCUGAACCAGCCAUGUCGCGUGCAGGAAGACUGCCCUUAAUGGGUUGUAAACUGCUUAUAUAGUAGAAGAAACACAUCUACGUGUAGAUGUCUGCCAGUAUACUAUGAAUAAGCAUCGGCUAACUCCGUGCCAGCAGCUGC
rnacentral:rRNA from 1 species